GAUUUGCAGGCGUUUAGGUUGUACCUAUUUUUUCACUGUUACAAGUAAAUCUCUAUUAGGUAUAAAUAUUUACCUGCAUCUCUGAUUACUUCUUUCCGUAGAGUCCUGGAAGUGGAGAUACUGGGCCAAAGCAAGCACAUAUCCUACCCAUCUGAGUGGGGAAUGCAGAUUUGUGGCUGGAGAGGGUUAGCCACUUUGUGACAAUGAAGUGACCAUGACUAGAGAAGCCCCACACCAACGAUGGUGAAACAGGAAGGGCAGAAAGAACCUGGAGGCUGCUGUCAUCAGGGAACUGCUGCCCCAGUCCUAGACUGAUCACCUCUGGAUAAAUGAGAAAGAGAGAC
rnacentral:lncRNA from 1 species